UUUGCGCCGCUGGUUGGCGCCGCUAGGGGUGUUCGAUUCCGUAGUUCUUGGAGUCGACUCCGACUCUCGACUCAUUCUUUUGGAGUCGAUAGAAUCGACACUUCGACUCCAUUUACUGGCAUUCAAACCAAACCAGUCUGCUUCUUUCUGGUCCUAAACCGAUGUGGUUUUCCAAGCGCACGCAUCGGGAGACGGCCCUGGUCUAACCAGCUACUUAUGGAAACCAGAUUACACAUGCAUUCUGUUGCAGCCUGUCUGAGCUGAUCGUGAUCCUCAAACAUGUAGUUCUCAAUCUCAGGAAGGGCUUUCUCUUUCAGGAUUUUCACACUGUGGAAAAAGAGGCCGCAAGAUUUGUGAGACCCAGAAGCGCUUCGAAGUUUUCCAUGCCGUCUCGAUCUGUGCCUAGCAAGGACACCAGUGGUCUCACAACUUCAUACACCUGUCAUCAAAAAAAUGGAUUACAGC